rnacentral:rRNA from 1 species
ACUAAAGGUGCAAGCGUUAAUCGGAAUUACUGGGCGUAAAGCGCGCGUAGGUGGUUUGUUAAGUUGGAUGUGAAAGCCCAGGGCUCAACCUUGGAACUGCAUUCAAAACUGACUCACUAGAGUACGAGAGAGGUUAGUGGAAUUUCCUGUGUAGCGGUGAAAUGCGUAGAGAUGGGAAGGAACACCAGUGGCGAAGGCGACUGACUGGCUCGAUACUGACACUGAGGUGCGAAAGCGUGGGGAGCAAACAGG